GUUAUAGACUGAUCGCGGCUCGGCCCGAUCCUCCCACCCUUUGUGUACCUACCUCUGUUGCUUUGGCGGGCCGCGGUCCUCCGCGGCCGCCCCCCUCCCCGGGGGGGUGGCCAGCGCCCGCCAGAGGACCAUCAAACUCCAGUCAGUAAACGAUGCAGUCUGAAAAACAUUUAAUAAACUAAAACUUUCAACAACGGAUCUCUUGGUUCUGGCAUCGAUGAAGAACGCAGCGAAAUGCGAUAAGUAAUGUGAAUUGCAGAAUUCAGUGAAUCAUCGAAUCUUUGAACGCACAUUGCGCCCUUUGGUAUUCCGAAGGGCAUGCCUGUUCGAGCGUCAUUACAACCCUCAAGCUCUGCUUGGUAUUGGGCACCGUCCUUUGCGGGCGCGCCUCAAAGACCUCGGCGGUGGCGUCUUGCCUCAAGCGUAGUAGAACAUACAUCUCGCUUCGGAGCGCAGGGCGUCGCCCGCCGGACGAACCUUCUGAACUUUUCUCAAGGUUGACCUCGGAUCAGGUAGGGAUACCCGCUGAACUUAAGCAUAUCAAAAAGCGGAGGAA
rnacentral:rRNA from 1 species